GGAAGAUACGAUAUCCAAUCUCACGAUCCCCAUCGGCAGGGGCGGAUCUCCACCCGGGGCUGCCUGGGCUGCAGCCCCGGUCGACAGUCGUGGCCCACUAGAGGAGUAUAGGCCCAUCGUCGUGCCCAGCCCCAACCCUAGCUCCAGCCGCCGCUUGGCUCCUGCCGUCCUGCCUGCGUCCUGUUACCGCGCGGUCACACCUCCUCUCUAGCUCCAGCGCCACAGCGCGCUCGCCCACGGCCCACGCGGCCGCGCCUCCUGCCCUCCUCUGUCCUCUCCAGGCUCUAGCUCUCCAGCGCCGCAGCGCGCUCGGCCGCUCGCCCGCGGCCCACGCGGCCGCGCCUCCUCUCCAGUCUCCAGCGUCGUGCCACAGCGCGCUCGUGGCCAGCCGCCAGGGCGCCACCGUGGCACCGCUAGGCGCCAGCCGCGCUCGACCGCCGACCGCCCAGCAUGCAAGCAGUAAUGCAGGGGCGGAUGCGGACGACGGAUCACCGGAUCGGAGCACCGAGCACCUCGUGCUCGUGGGCGCUACGUGGCACUGCGCCAGGGGCGGAUCUCCAAAGAGAGUUUGAGGAUGAUCCAGAUCUUUAUGUGCUGAAGCCUUUGAAGUAUAUUGGAAUUGAAGUUUGGCAGGCACCGUGUAGACUUAUAUCUCAAACGUAUGCAAGUAAAAGCUGGUUCAGUUUUCAACAACAUUCUGAUUUGUGAUGACCCUGAGUAUGCAAGAAAGGUUGUUGAGGAAACUUGGGGUGCAAAUAGGGAGGCUGAAAAGGAAGCUUUUGAAGAAGCUGAAAAGGAGAGGAAAGCUAGGGAGGAUAGGGUAAGAAUGAAGCAUUAUGAUUUAUGAAUUAUACAUAUUGUUGCAUAACAGCAUUAUGUAAUCAUGUUAGUCAUGUAUCCAACAUAUAGAUGCAUUAGCCAAGUUGUAUUUAAGAGGAUCCCAGUUGAUUAAACAUUGAGUAAUGCAUCAGUGUGGUUGCGCGUUGCAGCCAGACAGAGAAAAACAGACUUGCUCUCUAU